rnacentral:sRNA from 1 species
CAUCUUGUUGCUGUGC